GGGUUGUGAGGUUAAGCGACUAAGCGUACACGGUGGAUGCCCUGGCAGUCAGAGGCGAUGAAGGACGUGCUAAUCUGCGAUAAGCGUCGGUAAGGUGAUAUGAACCGUUAUAACCGGCGAUUUCCGAAUGGGGAAACCCAGUGUGUUUCGACACACUAUCAUUAACUGAAUCCAUAGGUUAAUGAGGCGAACCGGGGGAACUGAAACAUCUAAGUACCCCGAGGAAAAGAAAUCAACCGAGAUUCCCCAGUAGCGGCGAGCGAACGGGGAGCAGCCCAGAGCCUGAAUCAGUGUGUGUGUUAGUGGAAGCGUCUGGAAAGGCGCGCGAUACAGGGUGACAGCCCCGUACACAAAAAUGCACAUGCUGUGAGCUCGAUGAGUAGGGCGGGACACGUGGUAUCCUGUCUGAAUAUGGGGGGACCAUCCUCCAAGGCUAAAUACUCCUGACUGACCGAUAGUGAACCAGUACCGUGAGGGAAAGGCGAAAAGAACCCCGGCGAGGGGAGUGAAAAAGAACCUGAAACCGUGUACGUACAAGCAGUGGGAGCACGCUUAGGCGUGUGACUGCGUACCUUUUGUAUAAUGGGUCAGCGACUUAUAUUCUGUAGCAAGGUUAACCGAAUAGGGGAGCCGAAGGGAAACCGAGUCUUAACUGGGCGUUAAGUUGCAGGGUAUAGACCCGAAACCCGGUGAUCUAGCCAUGGGCAGGUUGAAGGUUGGGUAACACUAACUGGAGGACCGAACCGACUAAUGUUGAAAAAUUAGCGGAUGACUUGUGGCUGGGGGUGAAAGGCCAAUCAAACCGGGAGAUAGCUGGUUCUCCCCGAAAGCUAUUUAGGUAGCGCCUCGUGAAUUCAUCUCCGGGGGUAGAGCACUGUUUCGGCAAGGGGGUCAUCCCGACUUACCAACCCGAUGCAAACUGCGAAUACCGGAGAAUGUUAUCACGGGAGACACACGGCGGGUGCUAACGUCCGUCGUGAAGAGGGAAACAACCCAGACCGCCAGCUAAGGUCCCAAAGUCAUGGUUAAGUGGGAAACGAUGUGGGAAGGCCCAGACAGCCAGGAUGUUGGCUUAGAAGCAGCCAUCAUUUAAAGAAAGCGUAAUAGCUCACUGGUCGAGUCGGCCUGCGCGGAAGAUGUAACGGGGCUAAACCAUGCACCGAAGCUGCGGCAGCGACGCUUAUGCGUUGUUGGGUAGGGGAGCGUUCUGUAAGCCUGCGAAGGUGUGCUGUGAGGCAUGCUGGAGGUAUCAGAAGUGCGAAUGCUGACAUAAGUAACGAUAAAGCGGGUGAAAAGCCCGCUCGCCGGAAGACCAAGGGUUCCUGUCCAACGUUAAUCGGGGCAGGGUGAGUCGACCCCUAAGGCGAGGCCGAAAGGCGUAGUCGAUGGGAAACAGGUUAAUAUUCCUGUACUUGGUGUUACUGCGAAGGGGGACGGAGAAGGCUAUGUUGGCCGGGCGACGGUUGUCCCGGUUUAAGCGUGUAGGCUGGUUUUCCAGGCAAAUCCGGAAAAUCAAGGCUGAGGCGUGAUGACGAGGCACUACGGUGCUGAAGCAACAAAUGCCCUGCUUCCAGGAAAAGCCUCUAAGCAUCAGGUAACAUCAAAUCGUACCCCAAACCGACACAGGUGGUCAGGUAGAGAAUACCAAGGCGCUUGAGAGAACUCGGGUGAAGGAACUAGGCAAAAUGGUGCCGUAACUUCGGGAGAAGGCACGCUGAUAUGUAGGUGAGGUCCCUCGCGGAUGGAGCUGAAAUCAGUCGAAGAUACCAGCUGGCUGCAACUGUUUAUUAAAAACACAGCACUGUGCAAACACGAAAGUGGACGUAUACGGUGUGACGCCUGCCCGGUGCCGGAAGGUUAAUUGAUGGGGUUAGCGCAAGCGAAGCUCUUGAUCGAAGCCCCGGUAAACGGCGGCCGUAACUAUAACGGUCCUAAGGUAGCGAAAUUCCUUGUCGGGUAAGUUCCGACCUGCACGAAUGGCGUAAUGAUGGCCAGGCUGUCUCCACCCGAGACUCAGUGAAAUUGAACUCGCUGUGAAGAUGCAGUGUACCCGCGGCAAGACGGAAAGACCCCGUGAACCUUUACUAUAGCUUGACACUGAACAUUGAGCCUUGAUGUGUAGGAUAGGUGGGAGGCUUUGAAGUGUGGACGCCAGUCUGCAUGGAGCCGACCUUGAAAUACCACCCUUUAAUGUUUGAUGUUCUAACGUUGACCCGUAAUCCGGGUUGCGGACAGUGUCUGGUGGGUAGUUUGACUGGGGCGGUCUCCUCCUAAAGAGUAACGGAGGAGCACGAAGGUUGGCUAAUCCUGGUCGGACAUCAGGAGGUUAGUGCAAUGGCAUAAGCCAGCUUGACUGCGAGCGUGACGGCGCGAGCAGGUGCGAAAGCAGGUCAUAGUGAUCCGGUGGUUCUGAAUGGAAGGGCCAUCGCUCAACGGAUAAAAGGUACUCCGGGGAUAACAGGCUGAUACCGCCCAAGAGUUCAUAUCGACGGCGGUGUUUGGCACCUCGAUGUCGGCUCAUCACAUCCUGGGGCUGAAGUAGGUCCCAAGGGUAUGGCUGUUCGCCAUUUAAAGUGGUACGCGAGCUGGGUUUAGAACGUCGUGAGACAGUUCGGUCCCUAUCUGCCGUGGGCGCUGGAGAACUGAGGGGGGCUGCUCCUAGUACGAGAGGACCGGAGUGGACGCAUCACUGGUGUUCGGGUUGUCAUGCCAAUGGCACUGCCCGGUAGCUAAAUGCGGAAGAGAUAAGUGCUGAAAGCAUCUAAGCACGAAACUUGCCCCGAGAUGAGUUCUCCCUGACCCUUUAAGGGUCCUGAAGGAACGUUGAAGACGACGACGUUGAUAGGCCGGGUGUGUAAGCGCAGCGAUGCGUUGAGCUAACCGGUACUAAUGAACCGUGAGGCUUAACCUUACAACGCCGAAGCUGUU
rnacentral:rRNA from 1 species